rnacentral:sRNA from 1 species
AUGGACCACGCGUCCACUGCGGUUCUGAGCGCGCCGUCCGCGCCCACCUGACAGCUGCUCGCUANUACCUGUUGUUC